ACGACGAAAUCACUUGUUGAGCGUGCCGAACCAGUCAUGCGAGGCCCUGUGCUGGCCCAAAUGCAUGGAAAAGAACA
rnacentral:tRNA from 1 species